ACCUGUGACAGUUCCAGAUCCCCCUGUACCUGGACCCUCUGUAUCAGCCCGCCCACCUGCACGUGUACAAUCAGACCCCUUUGAUAGUGACAGUGACCCAGAUGACCCUGAGCCUUUCCAUGGUUUUGAUGCCUCGCCCUAUACAUCAGAUGUAGAUGUUCCCUCAUCAGUUGAUACGAGUAUCACCUCUCCAGAGCCCAAAUCAGUUGAUACGAGUAGUAUCACCUCUCCCAUUCCUUCAGACUCCCAAGCACCUGCCCAUCCCACUCCAUAGCCCAGCCACCCACUCUCAUGUACCAUAUGGCCAUCCCAGUAAGCAAGCCAACCACUAGAAUUUGACUGGCAUGCACCUGUGACUUACAUAAACCAGACCUCUACAUAGCCUACAUGUCUUCAUUUUGCUGAAGACUGCCCAUCAUCCUAGCCUGUUAUCUGUGAUAAAGCACACUGAAGUUAGGUUUGGAAUGCAUCCUUAUCAUGAAUGCUCUACACCUCCACCUCCAUCUCCCACAACCUAGGUAACAGCUUUGAGACUCACUAAAAGUUGAACCCCCUGAAUGAUGUAGGCUAUGGGGCCACAUAAGACUUUGUCCAUCCAGGGUUACGUUGAAUGCCAAAUAUAAA